AAGACCUUGCGCUUUUGGAGCGGCCGAUGCCUGAUUAGCUAGUUGGUGAGGUAAUGGCUCACCAAGGCGUCGAUCAGUAGUUGGUCUGAGAGGACGACCAGCCACACUGGGACUGAGACACGGCCCAGACUCCUACGGGAGGCAGCAGUGGGGAAUUUUGGACAAUGGGCGCAAGCCUGAUCCAGCAAUGCCGCGUGCAGGAAGAAGGCCUUCGGGUUGUAAACUGCUUUUGUACGGAACGAAACGGUCUGAGUUAAUACCGGGCUAAUGACGGUACCGUAAGAAUAAGCACCGGCUAACUACGUGCCAGCAGCCGCGGUAAUACGUAGGGUGCGAGCGUUAAUCGGAAUUACUGGGCGUAAAGGGUGCGCAGGCGGUUUUGUAAGUCAGAUGUGAAAUCCCCGGGCUUAACCUGGGAACU
rnacentral:rRNA from 1 species